GGCAUAAAUACAGCGCGCUGGUAGUGAACGACAACUUGUUCAAAACUUUCUGUUAAACAUGGAUUUAAAUGCGUAAAAAAAGUUUUUAGGACAAAUCUCAUCAAGGUCGCGAGUCAAGAGAAGAAGGACAGCGCUUGGUGGAAGGAGAUGAAAAAUGUUGAAGGCUUUUGCAGAAAAAGCGACCAUUUAUGAAUUGAAAUUUUACUUCCUGUCCUACUACCGGAAGUUAAUAUCACCGCUGAAAUGUACUGCAUGCUCACUGCUACCCGGGGUCUUCAAAUGCAAAUCAGUUUAUCGUUUCGAACGAUUUUCCCGCUUCAAACUCUUCUUCUUCAUAAACUUUCUUCAAGAGACUAUAAAGGUUUUUGUUUCACAAUGCUUGGUUCUCAACAUUCUUCAUCUAAUGGGCAUACUAAUGGCAGUCGGUCUGGCAGAAAAAUAACUGUG